UACGGAGGGUGCAAGCGUUAUCCGGAUUUACUGGGUUUAAAGGGUGCGUAGGUGGGUAGGAAAGUCAGUGGUGAAAUCUUCGGGCUUAACCCGGAAACUGCCAUUGAUACUAUUUAUCUUGAAUACUUGGAGGUAAGCGGAAUAUGUCAUGUAGCGGUGAAAUGCUUAGAUAUGACAUAGAACACCAAUUGCGAAGGCAGCUUACUACACAGUUAUUGACACUGAGGCACGAAAGCGUGGGGGAUCAAAACAGG
rnacentral:rRNA from 1 species